rnacentral:ncRNA from 1 species
GCUCCCCCAAGGAGGGACUUGACCAAGUUAGGUCAUUCUUGGUAAACAGAAAUGGUGAUGCAGCAUGAACAAAAUCUGAGGUUAAGGUGCCAUAAUAUACAAUCCUCAUGUCAUCUAGAGAGCCACGCAGUGGUCAUGGAAGUUGGAAUCCACUAAGGAGUAUGUAAAACCUCAAAAGCAAAAUGAACUAGCCCUGAAAUUGGAUGGUUCUUAAGUGUAUUAUCCCAUUCCUCACCAUCCUCACCCUAACCCCCCCCCCCACCCAUUGAGGAGUAGGAUGAGAA